GCGCUUUCAUACUGUCGCACUGACCUGUGUACUUUCGCUCGGGGCAUUAUGGGUAAGAACUAUUUUCAACAUGGAGUCGUAAACAAGGAAGUGAAAGACUAAUUUCUAAAGUAUCAGUUUGAUGUAGUCCAGUAAGGCUAAGUGUACAGUCUAGUCAGAAAUGGUCCAGACCUAAAAGGCUAAAUACCAGACCUAAAAGGCUAAUUACCAGAUGCACACUUUGUUUUCUUGUAUUGUAUUCUUGUUUUGUUAAUUGAUUUUUUUUUCUUGAAUAAACAGUUGAUAAUUAGUACGAGUUUAUAUGAUAUCGGAAUAGUAAAAAUCAUAUUCAAUAAAGAUUUCUCAGCUUGCUUCAAAAUUGUAAAAAAUCUCAGAAUUUAUUUCUCGGUGACAGGUAGAUCAGUUGGUUAGAGCACCCCAGACAUA
rnacentral:lncRNA from 1 species